GAAAUGAAACUGUUAGUUGGAACUCCAAAUUUAACUCAAUUUUAAAUGUAAAUUCAAAUGCACUAUACACGAAACUCUUCUUUCUCAUGCUUUGUGAAAUAACUCUGCUAAAAAAACUAGAAGUUAGUUAUUCAAAUUGAAUUUUUGUUAGUGAAACUAAACCAAUUGGAAGUCGUUGAGGGCGACGUUUGAAAUUUGAUUUUUUUUAGAUGGUGAAAUUCGAUUCAGUUAGUUGGCUCUGAUUCCUGGUUAUGUACAUUUAACAGUGUAAAUGAUAGGUUAAUUUCUGUCAACUAGUUAAUAUUCAUGAAACUUAGUUAGGUUGCAAGAUGUUAUGGGAGCUGAACAAAUUCAUUAUUAAAGGUUUCUUUUAGCUUAAUUUGAUUCGAUUUUGUAUUGGGAUGGUUAGCAUAGUUUGAAAUUCUGUAGAAAAAUUGGUGGACUUGUUAACUUGCUAGGAUAUGUACAUGUUUGAGUUAGUAUGGAAACCAAUCACAUAUGCUAUAAUGCAAAAUGAUGCUAUGAAUGGCAUGAGAUUAGAAUUGUGAUGGUUAGGACAUGAUUGGUUUGUUGUUGAAUUGAAUUCAUUUUUUAUGUGUUAUGCUUGGAAGAACUUGAAAUGAAUUGGAUUUUAGUUCUUGUUUUGUGUGAAACAAAAACCUGUGGCCUUUUGAUUGCUUUUGUAGGGAUUUAUGAACAAAAAUGGAUGAAUUAACAUGGAAGCAUAUUGACAUUAAGAUGAUGGAUCAAAGAUGAACAAUAUAUCAUGAAGAAUGAA
rnacentral:lncRNA from 1 species